UACGUAGGUGGCAAGCGUUGUCCGGAUUUAUUGGGUUUAAAGGGUGCGUAGGCGGCUUUGUAAGUCAGUGGUGAAAUAUGGCAGCUCAACUGUCAAGGUGCCAUUGAUACUGCAGAGCUUGAGUACAGAUGAGGUAGGCGGAAUUGACGGUGUAGCGGUGAAAUGCUUAGAUAUCGUCAAGAACACCUAUAGCGAAGGCAGCUUACUAGGCUGUAACCGACGCUGAGGCACGAAAGUGUGGGGAUCAAACAGG
rnacentral:rRNA from 1 species